UACGGAGGGUGCAAGCGUUAAUCGGAAUUACUGGGCGUAAAGCGCGCGUAGGCGGCUUGGUCAGUCAGAUGUGAAAUCCCCGGGCUCAACCUGGGAACUGCAUUUGAUACUGCCAAGCUAGAGUAUGUUAGAGGAUUGCGGAAUUCCAGGUGUAGCGGUGAAAUGCGUAGAUAUCUGGAGGAACAUCAGUGGCGAAGGCGGCAAUCUGGAACAAUACUGACGCUGAGGUGCGAAAGCGUGGGGAGCAAACAGG
rnacentral:rRNA from 1 species